rnacentral:rRNA from 1 species
GUGAACGCUGGCGGUAGGCCUAACACAUGCAAGUCGAACGGCAGCACAGUAAGAGCUUGCUCUUACGGGUGGCGAGUGGCGGACGGGUGAGGAAUACAUCGGAAUCUACUUUUUCGUGGGGGAUAACGUAGGGAAACUUACGCUAAUACCGCAUACGACCUACGGGUGAAAGCAGGGGAUCUUCGGACCUUGCGCGAUUGAAUGAGCCGAUGUCGGAUUAGCUAGUUGGCGGGGUAAAGGCCCACCAAGGCGACGAUCCGUAGCUGGUCUGAGAGGAUGAUCAGCCACACUGGAACUGAGACACGGUCCAGAAUCCUACGGGAGGCAGCAGUGGGGAAUAUUGGACAAUGGGCGCAAGCCUGAUCCAGCCAUACCGCGUGGGUGAAGAAGGCCUUCGGGUUGUAAAGCCCUUUUGUUGGGAAAGAAAAGCAGCAGGUUAAUACCCCGCUGUUCUGACGGUACCCAAAGAAUAAGCACCGGCUAACUUCGU